CAAGCGUUGUUCGGAUUUACUGGGCGUAAAGGGCGCGUAGGCGGUCAGCACAAGUCAGUUGUGAAAUCUCCGGGCUUAACUCGGAAAGGUCAACUGAUACUGUGCGACUAGAGUGCAGAAGGGGCAACUGGAAUUCUCGGUGUAGCGGUGAAAUGCGUAGAUAUCGAGAGGAACACCUGCGGCGAAGGCGGGUUGCUGGGCUGACACUGACGCUGAUGCGCGAAAGCCAGGGGAGCGAACGGG
rnacentral:rRNA from 1 species